UUAUUAUCCGAUCACUUAUUUUGACAUUCAUAUUGCAACGACUCGACCCGCUAGCAACAAUAACUCGUUGGACCCAAACCAUCGGCCCAAAAUGCUUAAGCCCAGUUAUUACUAUUAGCGUGUAGACCUCAUAUAAACUAAUCGAAAUCAGUAUCCCAUCCGAUGUGGGACUAUUAGGGGCGUUACAAACUCCCCCUGUUUAGACCCUGACGUCCUCGUCGGGUCCAAACUAGAUCACAGAUAGACAGACUAGGACCAUUACAAGGCAAUGUGAGAUUCUAGAGGUGGCUCCUACGGGUUCAAGAGGUGGCUCCUAUCAAACCCGUUGGUGUAGCACUUUGUCCCGCAUAGCACUUAGUUCUCACACUUCCGACUGGUAUUCGAUUCUGAUACCAAUUGCAACGACCUGACCCACUAGCAACAAUAACUCGUUGGAUCCAAACCAUCGGCCCAAAAUGCUUAAGCCUGGUUAUUAUUACUAGCGUGUAGGCCUCAUAUAAACUGAUCAGAAUAGUAUCCCAUCUGAUGUGGGACUAUUGGAGGCGUUACAAACUCCCCCUGUUUAGACCCUACCAUGACGUCCUCGUCGGGUCCAAAUCAGAUCACAGACAGACAGAUCCGAUGUGGGACUAUUGGGAGCGUUACAAACUCCCCAUGUUUAGACCCUACCCUGACGUCCUCGUCGGGUCCAAACCAGAUUACAGACAGACAGACCAGGACCAUUACCAGGCGAUGUGAGAUUCUAGAGAUAGCUCCUACGGGUUCAAGAGGUGGCUCCCACCAAACCCGUUGGUGUAGCACUUUGUCUCGCAUAGCACUUAGUUUUCACACUUCCGGCUAGUAUUUGGCUCUGAUGCCAAUUGCAACGACCCGACCCGCUAGCAACAAUAACUCGUUGGAUCCAAACCACCGGCCCAAAAUGUUUAAGCCCAGUUAUUAUUACUAGCGUGUAGGCCUUAUGUAAAUCGAUCGAAAUCAGUAUCCCACCCGAUGUGGGACUAUUGAGGGUGUUACAAACUCCCCCUAUUUAGACCCUGACGUCCUCGUCGGGUCCAAACCAGAUCACAAACAGACAAAUCAAGACCAGAAUUACUAGGCAAUGUUAGAUUCUAGAGGUGGUUCCUACGGGUUCAAGAGGUGGCUCCCACCAAACCCGUUGGUGUAACACUUUGUCCCGCAUAGCACUUAGUUCUCACACUUCCGACUGGUAUUCGUCUCUGAUACCAAUUGCAACGACCCGACCCGCUAGCAAUAAUAACUCGUUGGGCCAAACCACCGGCCAAAAAUGCUUAAGCCCAGUUAUUAUUAUUAGCGUGUAGGCCUCAUGUAAACCGAUCGAAAUUAGUAUCCCGCCCGAUGUGGGACUAUUGAGGGCGUUACAAACUCCCCCUAUUUAGACCCUACCCUGACAUCCUCGUCAGGUCCAAACCAGAUCGCAGACAGACAGACCAGUAUCGUUAUUAGGCGAUGUGAGAUUCUAGAUGUAGCUCCUACGGGUUCAAGAGGUGGCUCCCACCAAACCCGUUGGUGUAGCACUUUGUCCCACAUAGCACUUAGUUCUCACACUUCCGGCCGAUAUUCGGUUCUGAUACCAAUUGCAACGACCCGAUCCGCUAGCAAUAAUAACUAGUUUGACCCAAACAAUCGGUCUAAAAUGCUUAAGCCCAGUUAUUAUUACUAGCAUGUAGGCCUCAUGUAAACCGAUCGAAAUCAGUAUCCCACCCGAUGUGUGGGACUAUUGAGGGCGUUACACAUAUAUUAUGCCGUACGAAAUAAAGAAAAAUGGUAGAAUAAUACGGAUUAUAUGAUUGAACAUUUAUUAGUAUUAUUAUUACUAUUUUGGUAUAAAAUAACGGUGACGAUUGAUUUGGGACUUGAUCUUAUCUACAUCCUGGUCCGCAGUUUGGGUCCCAUCGCUGUUAAUCUGGACCGUGCACCCGGUGCCACCGACAACGGAGAAAAGCACUGUUGGAGCCCACCGGGCUCCACCCAAAACCAGGAUCCAGCGGUGAGAGUGGGCCCCACCAUAUAUAGAGUAUGAACGACUGAACCACCAGUGGGGAUCCACUGUUUUAAUUUUCGAAUCCGACGCACCCGACGCCCCGCCCGGAGCAACUACUGCAACUAUAAUAUACACCUUACCCACCAACCAUACACACCCCCUGUGGGCCCCACCACUGUGACCGGGAUAUCGCGCCAAAUUUAGGUACCAGGGAAAUAACUAUAUAUCAGCAAAAAAAUAAAAAAUGCCCACGUGGGUAGGAUAUAAUAAUAUUAAUAUUAAUAGAGUGGUAGACUUGGCAUUAUGGAUAUUAAUAUUUUUAGAAAAAUACUUUUUGUGUGUCGGAAAAGUGUAGUAUAGAUCUUAUACUUCACGUCCAGAGUUGAUAAAAUUUUAAAUAAUUUUUAGUAAAAAUAAAAAAUUAAUGGCAUUGGGAUUGAAUGAGCAUAAGAUAUACACCCACUUCAGAAUGUACUGAUAGUAUCGCUUCAAAAAAAUAUUUUAUUUAUACACCAAAAAAGGAGGGUGUAGAUUUUAUAUAUUAUCUUAAAGUUUAUAAAAUUUCAAAUAAUUUUUAGUAAAAUAAAAAAAAAUUGAUAUGAUAAGUUAAAAAUUAAUAAUUCUUAAAUAAAAUAGGUGUAAGAUGCAAAUAUUAUUUUAUAGUGUACCAAUAGCAUUGCUUAUUUCAAAAUAAACUAUAGUUGGGUUGUCUUUCCUUUUCACCUUUACGUUCUAGAUUAUAGUAACCUUAUAUUUAAAGUGUGGUAAAAUAAAUAAGAACACUAUUACCGGGUACCGUCAAAAGAGAAUGCACAUCAUACACCAUUUUAUUUAAGGGCAAAGAAUCAGUCGUUGUUUUCAAUUUUUUUUAAAUACUAAAAAUUUUAAAUUUUUCUAAAUUUUAGAGGGAGUGUGAGACGUACGCAGCAUUGGCAUUUCUUAAUAAAUAUUUCAUUUGCUUUUAGUCAUGAAUGGUUAAUAGAAUAAGUAGAGUAAUUUGAUUGAAAAAGUAUUCAGAAUAAUUAAAUUUAACAAAUCUACUAUUAAUAAAAAAAAAAUUAAAAAAAUGGUUAAGUUAUCAAUUUUAAAUUGGCUUAUAGCUUAAGAAAUUUUUUUUUUAAAAUGUGACAGUCACAUAGCUAACACAGUAUCUCCAAUCAAUCACAUUUGAUCUUAAAAUUGACCUAUUCUAUCAUAAGUUUUUUCAAAUAUUUUUACUAUAUGUUUUUUAAAAAAUGUAAUUAAUUAAAUAUAAAAUAAUAUGGUGCAACUAUUAGGCAGUUUAUUCUGAAGCAAAUUUCUAUCCUAAUAUAUUUUUUUAAUAGAGAAAGGUAGCAUAUUAUUCUGAAAAUAUGAUGUUAUUCGCGGUUUUCAUUAAAAGUUAUUAUUAUUAGGAGCACAGUAGGGCCAUUCCGCACCGUCCGCCUAAAAUACCUAACGGCCCAGAUGAUCCGAUGGAAACGUGACUUAAAAGCCCAGCGAAAAGCGGGGCCCACUUUGACCGAGUCGUGGUCAGAGCUCACCAUAGUCACGUGUCCUCAUCAUCUAAUUAUGCGCACGUCUCGUCCUUCGACGCACGCAAUCGCCGCAUAAUGAUCAGCCUAUGUAUAUAUGUACUAAGAUAUUUUUAUUUAACUUUUUGCAUGUCAAAAUACUAAUAUUUUGUAUACCAAUGAUUUAGCAGUAUUUUUUUUUAUUGUUAAAGAUAUUUUAUUAUAGCGAAAGGACCUAAAAAAAAAUCCUGAAAACAUUAUAGAGAUAUACAUUAUUGUGCUUUAAUUAAUAAAAUAAUAAUAAUAAGUUAACUACAUUACAACACAAUUUAUAUAUCAUUUUAAAGAUCUAAUUUUAUGAAGAAUAAAAGAAGAGGAAAAAAAAAACCCUAUUUUUUAUCGAAUAAAUGAGAUGAGCUUUUGAAAAUUUCCCUCUAAUGAGAUUCGCACUUUUUUUUUUUUUGUUUCAGAAAAAUGAGAAACAUUAGAGGGGGUUAAGUGCAAAGGACCGUCCGAUCUAGAUCCGACGGAUCUCGAUCGCCCCUCCGAUCUCGCGUCACAGAUCCGCUCGAAAAACGACAAACGCGCUAAACAACAACAACGAGAUCGAUCGAUCGAUCGCUAGGGUUUUUUGUUACCUUUCCGAUGAACGCGGCGCUCCCGCCGAGCUUGGCGAUGGCGACGGCGACGUUCGCCGGGGCUCCGCCGGGGGCCUUGAGGAACCCCGUCGACUCCGCGAGCGACACCCCCGCCGCGUCGGGGACGAAGUCGAUGAGCAUCUCCCCCCCCGACGACCCCUUCGUCUUCUCCGCCUCUCCUAUCGCCAUUGUCGCACCUUCCCGAGCUCCGCUCCGAUCGAAAAUGAGAAGAGAGAAUAGAGGAGAAUGAGGAGAGGAGGGGGUGGGGGUUUAUAUAGUCCGAUCGAAAAUGAGAAGAGAGAAGAGAGAAUAGAGGAGAAUGAGGAGAGGAGGGGGUGGGGGUUUAUAUAGGGAGGCGAUGUGAGUUGCAUUGGACUUAAAAAUAAGGGAGAGGGGUGAUGAGAUUUUUAAUUUAAAUUAAGUUUAAUUAAUUAAUGAUUUGGAUUUAUCCGUAACUAUUUAUGCCCUUUAUCUUUUGGAACAAAUUAGGGUUUCUAGUUCUGAUAAUUUUAAUAAAAUUUCACUAUAGUCCUUAAAAUUUAAUAAUAUUUGUUUGGACCGCAAAAAUAUUUACGUCGUAUUUGAUUGAGCGAGGACCAAACUGAAAAACGUCAAAAAAGUAUGGGGACUCGUGGUGCAAUUUGCCCUCAUGCUUUUUUUUAAAUCUUAAUUUGGUAACGUGACACGUGGUAUCUUGAUUCAUUUAGAGGCGGUUUGGUUUGACGUAAAAUUGGAAAAAAAAAAUUUCGAUGGAAAAAUUUUUUUUGAAGGAAAAUAAAUUUUACGCUUUCAAGCGUCUGAUUUGUAGAAAAAAAAAAUAGUUUUUCGUUAGAGUUGUUUGGUUGUUAGUUGAAAGAAAAAACAAUUUAUAAAUAAAAAUUAAUGUAUAUAUAUAUAUAUUUAUUAUAUUUAUAUAUAGUAUUGAUAUAUAAUAAUGAUCAUAUUACAUAUAUUUAAAGGUGUCCAAAAUAUCCUAUAUCCCAUAUCCGAUCCGGACCCUAUCCGGACCCGAACCGGACCCGAACCGGACCCGAUAAAAAAUGAAUAGUAUACGGAUAAAAAAAAUUACCCAUUAAAGUUUCGGGUAUGGGUCCGGAUAUUUUAUACCCAUACUCGAUUUGGAUCUGACCCGAACCUAACUUUUAAAUGGGUAGGGUCCGGAAUAGUUUUCAAAUCCGAACCCGGAUCCGGACCCGAUGAAAUAUCCGAUAGUAAAUAAAAAAAAAUAAACUUUUGAAGUUGAAGGAUCAAUUUUAAUAUGACUUAUAGAUAAUGAGUCACUACGUAUUUUUAUCCUAAUGAAACCCUAGCUAUCUCUUUUACUCAUUACUUUUUUCUAAUUUUUUUACUCUUUAUUUUCUACUCCUUUUUUUUCAUUUCAUUUCCGCCAACAAUAUUUCAUUGUCAUCAUCAUCAUCAGUGUCAUCAUCAUCAUCAGCGACAAUAUUUCUUUUGAAUGAAUUUUAUUGGACGGUACAACUUAUUAGAAUGCGAGUUUUUUUAUGGUGCGCUUUAUAGUUUGUCUAUUGACUAUUUAAUAAAGUUUAUAAAAAAUAUAUAUUUAUACGGAUAUCCGUACCCGAUCUAGAUCCGAUCAAUAUCCGGUCUUGAACGGGUAGUAUACGGGUAGUCACUACCCAGACCCGCUCAAAUAGACCCGAUCGGUAUAUUAGUAACUUUAGUACCCAGAUCCGGACCCAACGCGAAGUUAAAUGGGUAGGGUAUAUAUAUAUUUUUGUAACCAUUUCUUUUUAGGUAUGGGUACAGUAUUAUUAAUUACCAGACCGACCCGGUCCACGGACAUCUUUACAUAUAUUAGAAUUAUAAUUUAUCUACUUAUAAAAAAUAUUUAAAAUAUAUUAUACAUUAAUUAAAUAUAUAAUAAAUAUAUAAUAAUAUAUAUUUAAUACUAUAAAAUAAGUUAUUGUGUAUUUAUUAAAUAAUAUUCAUAUAUAAAAUAUUACACAUAAUAUAUUUAAAAAAUAAUAAAUAAUAUAAUAUAUAUAUUAUAUAUAUAUAUAUAAUAUUAUAUAUAUAUUAGUAGGUCAUAUGCUAUCAGAAAGUACGGAGCCUUUCGUACUUCCAGCUCGUUUCGAUAUUGUAACUUUUCGAAUCGUCGAUCGGCUCCGUUAAAACUUGAUCUAGAGUAUUUGGAGUACCUAGAAAAUAAAUUUUAUUAUUUUUCGAUAUCAUUAGCCUAGUAUCGAAUGGGCUCAAAAUCAAUAAAUUUCAAUAGUCGUAGUGAGCGUUUGCAAGUUUAACGGUGUGAAAAUAUCCAAAUCCUGUGAAAUUUUUGAUAGAAAAUUCUUUAUACUGUAUAAACAAGAUCAAUAUCUUUGAUUUAAAAUUUUAAUGUCAUAUUAUUACAUUUUGUAAGAUUUUUAUUUUCAGCCGUUGAUUUUUACCCCUUCGUUCACUAGGCAAAUGAUAUCGUAAAUCAUAAAUUUAUUUUCUAGGUACUUCAAAUACUUUAGAUCAAGUUUAACGGAAGCGAUCGACGAAUUGAAAGUGCAAUAAUCGAAAACGAGCUAGAAGCACGGAAGGUUCCGUGCUUCCGAUAGCAUAGUAGCCUCACUCUAAUAUAUAUAUAUUUAUAUAUAUAUAUAUAAUUAGGCUGGAAUAAUAUUAAUAGUAAAACGCUUUUUUGAUAUCAAGUUUUUAAUCCUUGGAUGAAAAUUUGUAGAGGUCAGAGAUGAUAUUUAGUCGUGUUAGAGUUUAAUGGUCCCCUAGGGUUGAAUGGUUCCACAUAGGUUAUAGUAUUUAAUCCAAUGGUUAGAAAGAUAAUAAUGAAAAGAGUUGAUCCAAAUGCUGAAAAAUCUACAAGCACCAAUGUUUGGUACUUUUAAAGCAUAAGGUAGCUCAUUUAUUAUAUAUAUAUAUAUAUAGAAUUAGACUACUAUACUAUCUAUAGUACCGGAGCUCCAGUACUAUAGUCUUGUUUUCGAUCUUAGGAUGUUCAAAUUAACAAUCCACACCGUUAAAUAUGAUCUAGGAUAUAUGAAGUUCUUAGAAAUAAAAUUUUAGUUUUUUUCGACAUCGUUUACUUAGUAAAUAAAUUAUGUCAAAAUGGACGGUGAAAAUUGAAUAAUCUUUCAAAUUUGAGCAUAAGACUUUUAAAUUCAAGAUAAAAAAUAUUAACCUUAAUCUAGAUAGUUUAAAGUAUUUUCUAUCAAAAUUUGCAGAAAUUUAGAUUCUUCUACACCGUUAAACUCCAAACUCGCGAAAAUAGCCAUUGAAAAUUGACAAUUUUGAAAUGGUUUGAUAUAAAAUAAACUAUGUAGAAAAAAAUAUAAAAUUUUAUUUUUAAAAACUUUAAAUACCCUAGAUCAGUUUUAAUGGUGUGAAUCGUUGAUUUGAAUAUCGUAAGAUCGAAAACGAGACUAUACUACCGGAGCUCCGGUACUAUAGAUAGUAUAGAAGGCUAGCUCUCUCUCUCUCUCUCUAUAUAUAUAUAUAAAAUGAAAGAGAGAGAGAGCACGGGUCCACAUGCUUCUCGGACUCUCUCUCUCUCACGCGGUCCACGAGGUGAAAGGCACCUCGUGGACCGUGCGCAAAAAAGCCUCCUGAGCCGUGAUUUUUUGUACGGUGGUUUUCGUUUUCCACUCGCUACGAGCGGAAAACGAAAACUUCGGAUUUUCUGAGAAUACGUAAAAAUCUUUUUCCUUGAAAAUUUUUUUACUGAUCACCAAACAUCAAAAAGUAAAAUUUUACAUGGAAAAAAAAUUUUCGGCUAGUUUAAUUUGCAGAGUACCAAACACGCCCUUAGUUGGGAUUUGACCAGCGACUAUUGCGGGGUCCACCGUGUAUUUCGGGACGAGUAAGAUUUUUGUGUAGCAAGGAUGUUAUUUGUAAUUAAAUAGGGUGGCAAUUUGUGAUACAACAUAAAAUAUUAAUCAAUUAUGAUUAAAGAGUAUAUAUAUUUAAAAUUUACAUUAUAUAAAUUUAUCUACUUCAAAAAUAAUACAGUAUGAGAUGAUGUAACACUAAUGAAAAUUAUCUUAAUAUUUCGGAAAAGUUCUCUAAUUAUCUAACACCAAUGAAAAUUUAUCUAAUUUAUCAUAGCAUAAGCAUAAAUAUAAGAUGCAUGUCCUACUUAAGAAUACAACAGAUUACAGAUUCCUCAAUUGAUUACUUAAUUACUAGCAAAAAAUUUUGUUACGAACAAAAAUUCUUUCGCAUGUACGAUCACCGUAACGGAAAUAUAAUGUGUGACGUAUGCCCUACUUUUUAAGCAUACUAUGAGUUUCUCGGAAAGUAUUUUAAACCUAAUCGAUGAUUCAAUUUUGUAACAAAUAUGGUGAAUCACUAGUUUAAAUUUUCAAAUUUAAAUAUAAAGCUUGAGCUGAGUAUUAAAUUCAAAAAAGUAAACCAUCAAUAAGAUCUGUCCUACGUGCAUUCAAGAUUCAAAAAUAAAUAAAUAAAUAAACAGAAAUAAGUAGUGAGCUCUUGACCCAUCUCCUUUAUCCUCAUUUAAACAAGCAAAGUAAAUACAGAAAAUGGUUUGAGCACUAUUUGGCACAAGCUUAAUACCAUAUCAGUACAAUAUAUAUAUAUAUAUAUAUAUAUAUAUAUAUAUAUAUAUAUAUAUAUAUAUAAUAGGGCUACUAUAUUAUUAUGAGUAUUCGGUCCUUCAUACUCAUAAGUUGUUUUUAAUGAUGGAGCUUCGGAAUCGACGAUCCACUCCGUUAAACAUGAUCUAGAGUAUUUGAAACUUUUAAAAAAUAAAUUUCGUAAUUUUUCGAAAUUAUAAUAAAGUCUAUCAAGUGGGCAUAAAAUGAACGGUUAAAAUCGAACGAUGUCUUAAAAAUGGAUGAUCGGAUCCUUCAAUUUAAGAUCGGAGUUAUUGACCUUUAUCUAGGUAGUGAAUAGAAUUUUCUAUUAAAAAUUCAACCUAUUCAGAUUCUUUUGCACCGUUAAACUAGCAAGUAUUCCANUAUAUAUAUAUAUAUAUAUAUAUAUAUAUAUAUAUAUGUAGUAUGACCUAACGAUUAGAAAUGAUGAAAGGGAUAAAUCUAACGGUAGAAAAUUCGAUUUCGAUAGCACCAAGCGCUUGGUGCUAUCGAUAGACUCUCUCUCUCUCUCUCUCUAUAUAUAUAUAUAAUGAAAUUUUUACUUUUGUGAAUAAAUAAGAAAAAGAAGAUGUUCUUGAGACUGAAAUUUCUCUUGCAUUGACAUGACAAAGUCAAAUCUUAUCUUAUAUAUACCAUUAAAACUACAUCAUAUAUAGCUUAGCUACUGCCCGUUUCCCUACAAGUAUAUCCCUAUUACACAUGCAUGCAACACUAUCUAUAUGUUGCUGCGCACUAAAGUUCCAUACAUCUUUUUAUUCAAGUUGUUACCUAUCUAUUAACACAACACUAAAAGGAUCACAUACUGAUCAUACACUUUUAAGUUCCUUAGCAACACAAAGCAUGCACUAGUACCAAAAAGAGGGCAAUUGCAUCAAUUGAUCUUGCGGCAAUUCGCCCUAACUUCUCCUUGACUCCCCUCCUUGACAUCAAGAGACCCCAUCUUCAUCAUCCCUUGUUGGAAGUUGAAGAAGAAGAUGGCUUGGUUCAUCGCAAAGAAGUUCACAAUUUGUUGAGUUUGAGGGGAAACAUAUAGUGUUUGGUCUGAAAAGAGCACGCCGUCGCCUUUCUGUAGUGCACUGAAGUAGAGGUUGUCGAAGGAGUUCGUCGUCGCGUCGAAGGGCUGGGCCGCGCUGUCUCCGGCGCUGCAAGUGUUCAACAGGGUCUUCGCGAAGGUAGGGUCCAUGCUCGGGUCGACGUCGUGGGUCGAGUCGAAGCUGCUGAGCCGACUUUUGAAUGAUGAGCACCUUGCAACACCUAAGGUGUGGCCACCUUAAACAAGUAGAACAAAAAGAGAGACAAUUUAGUGGAGUUGUGAUCAUUGUUUAAUAAUGUUUGUAAGUAGAUUUUAUAGUUUGCCUCUUCUUGAGUAACUAUGACAUGUUCGAGCUUUUGCAGUAGUACUAUUUAAGUAGAGUUAUUUAAAAAAGUACUGUAAUAAAAAAUGAAAAUUUAUCGUGAAGCUUCUACUACUAGAUCUAGAAGCUUAUUUGAAAUUGAUAUGGCAUAUGUUUAUAUUGUUUUCUCGAUCCAUUUUCUUUUUGCUUUCAAUCCAUCAAAGCAAACUGAUGCAAGUACAAAAAUAAUUCAACUUACAAAGUUUUGAAUUUAAUUCGAGUGACGACAAAUUUAAAUUGAGAAUCAGAACAUCUGGGAUUUACCGGACAAAGCCACCAACUCCCAAACCGUGAAUCCAUGCUGACUGAACACAUUGAUGAGCCCCGUGGUAUUGAGUGUCGGUGCCGGCAGGCUCGUAAAAGUGUCUUCCUGCUUCGACCUCGUCCCAUCUUUUCGCCCCUUGACGAUAUCGUAAUAUGGACCUCCGGCCUAAAAUUCAAUUCGUAAAAUGAUGGAAUAGCAUAACCUCGAAAUAUUGGUUGAAAAGAAUCAAGUGAAGACAAUUUUGCCAAGUUUUCAAUAAGCUAAAACUUGCUCAUUGUUUUGUAACAUGGUGUUCUUUUUAGAAAAACAUUGUAGUUCCUCAAAGUAGAGUUUAAGGAGAUGAAAGCGUAAAUCUGAUACCCAGAAAACUGCAUCUCUAGCUGCUAGUGCGACGAUAUCUGCGCACGAAACGAUUCCAGGGCAUUGCAUUUCGAGGAACUUUUUCGCUUGGUCGAUCACUUCGUAGCCUCGUAGGCUUAGAUUCACAGGCGAGUCCUUCUCUGCUGUGUUACCGCUUGUCGAAUCAAGUAGAACUGAGGCAUCACACCCCUGUCAUUUAAUGCCAAAAGAUGAAAAACAAAGAGAAAAAAAGACUCGGAGUUUCAAUUGUAACAAUUGAGUUCAUUUAGUUUGACAUAAUUUUCAUUUCGCCCCCGAAAUUUUGAUUUAGGCAAAGAAAAAAAAAAUUUCCAACAAUGAUACUGACGUUGCACGUCUCAAUUGUUAUGCAGAACAAACUUGAUGGACUAGAUUGUCACGAUCAAAACUAUGAGGAUUAAAAUGAAAUCAAAAGUUAAGUUCAAAAUCAUUUACUCUUUGCUAUUGACAAAGAUAAAGAUACAGUUGUAAUUAUUGAAGUAAAUAAGAUGAGAUAUUAUAUAUGUAUAUAUGAAGUAACUGUAAUUGAGAACCUGCACAAAGCAAUCAUGGAAGUGAAGCCUAAGAAGCCCUGCAGCAAGUGUUGGAUCCUUGUGCAAAGCUUGGUUCACGACGAUCCUCACGAUCGGCUCCACGAAGGGGCAACUCAUGCCAUAGUAGUUCAUGCUGAGAGCUUCUCCUCCUCUCAAGAUCACUUCUACAAGCACUAGAAACUCCACCACAUAGUAAGCACUUUUCAUCCUUAUAAUUUUCAGCAAAAACUGAAGUCGAGGAACGUCGAGUUCACAAUUUGGUGUGCACAAGUGAGUGUUUGUCUGUGUGUGUGUGUGUGUAUUUAUAUAAUUAAACCAUGAUUGAUUUAGUAGUAAUUAGACUAUACUUAAUAGACAAAGCAAAACCCACAUAAGAUAUAUACCACCAGGGGUUUGAGAUAAUCAUACAAUAAUUAAUGUUUGGUCAAAAAGUGUUACCUAGCAGUGCCAUAUCAUGUCAUGCAACUUAACUAAUUUGGCCCAUGAUGAAACUUUAGUGGACAUAUAUAUGUAGCACUUGAUAUGCAAACAAAAGUAUAAAAAAGAAAUAAAAAGAAGAUUUGUACAAGCACUUCAGAGCAUAAUGGAACCACCAAUAACGCUAGAAAACACGUAGAUAGGAAAUUGAUGGUGCAUAUAUAUGAACUACCACAGAAACAAGAGAAGCUACAAGUAUGAAUAUAUAUAAAGCACUUCUAUAAGGAAUCUGGUCCCUUGGAAUGAUUUUUUGUACCUGUUUAAGAGCCAAGUGGAAAGUGGGGCACUAUAGCUGGUUACCAUGAUCUCAUUGUCACAAUCUAGAGGUAGUGGAUCACUCUUCUUUCUUAAGCAUGAGCCGAAAUUGCGCGUGAGCUCGGCAUGCUUACGAUGGCCGACGAGCUAUGAGGAUUCGCGAUAGAGAGAGAAAAAAAAAUCUACAUUGUUACUCAAGCUUGGGCAUGUUCUUCAUGUUUUUGAAUAAAAAUUUUAAGAAGCACUUGGUCCUUAAGUGCUUAUCAAGAGGAGUUGUAUUUGCUGCUUUUCGGUAUAGCCGCCAUUACGCAAUUAGUUAUGUAAUGUGGAUUGCCUUGUUGUCGCCAACUUGUAGUUGACGAUUCGAGCAUGAUUUUGGUUUGCAGUAGAUCGCAGCGUCAUGGUGCAAAGCGAAAAGGAAGGAAAAUUGUUUGGAGUUUCCAUGAGAUAUAUAUGCUAAGGGUUCAUAUAGUGGACUGAGCACAAAAACAUACAUAAUUGUGAAUGAUCUUUGUAUUGAGACAAAAAAAAAAAAAAAGAAAAAAAAUCUACAUAAUAUGUCAUCAAAGUUGUGCAUAUAUGGUAUCUUAUUUUAGUUGAAUGUAUUGUCGCAUACGACAAAUUGAUAUUCGUUGACAUUGAUUUUCAAAAACUUGAAACAACUGUGAGAUUGAAACCGGUUAAGAAUUUUGGUUUGUGAUGUCUCUAAACAAUUUAGUACUCUUUUUUCUUUUGAAUUGUUAAACAGCAACGAUAGUUUGUUCUUGUAAUAAGAUCGAAAAGUCGGAGUCGUAGAAUUAGGUUACACACAAAUUAACCUAUUUUUAAUAUUGAGAGAUCAAUACUUAGGGACUGAUUGGUUUCACGUAGUUGUAACUGCACUGCAGUUGCAACUACAUGCGAAUCUAAAUUCGGUAUUUUGUUUAAUGCAUUUCAGUCCAACUACAGCAGUAGUUAGAGAGAGUAAAUGAAAGGUAGGCUUACAUCCUUUUAAGUAGAAAAUAUUUUCUUUUCAAUAUUGAAGGAAAUCUCACCAUCAUACAUAUAAAGUGAUAAAAUUUUAAAAAUAUACUUCUCAACUGCAUAUAACACUACAACAAAAACAGUCUAUAGCGACACUUUUAAAUGUCGGUAUAGGUCAAAAAAAGUGUUGCUGACUAAAUUACUGAUACUUUUAAAAAGUAUUGCUAUAUAUGGGGUCGCUAGGUAUAUAGUGACAGUUAAAGAGUGUCGCUAUAACCUAAAAAGAGUAAUGCUUAUUUAUCAAUACUUAUUUAAGCAUUUAGCAACCGCUGGAACUCUACUUUGUUGGCUGCGGUGGCGGAGGAGGAUGAGAGGGAAGGGCUCUUCGUUUAGAAUUUCAGUAGAUUGAGUGAGGGGAGAAGGGGAGAUGGUAAUUGAUUUUUCUUUUUUUUUUUCUUUUCUGUUUGUAAUCGAGCCGAAUAGGCUGGGUGGGGUGGGUUGAGUAGAAUAGCCUUUUAUUUUUGAUUGGAUUAGGCUUUAUAUUUAGGCAUUAGUAGAUUUUUUUUAAAGUUUUGGCAUAAAUGAGACACUUAUACAAAAGUGUCCCAAACAUGUGUCCCUAUAAUCUAAUUUUAUUGUAUAACCAAACAAAAUAUUUAUAAUUAUAGAACUUUCUACUAUAUCAAAAAAAACAUGAUGUACAUAAUUAUAACUGUAUGUCAUGUAUCUCUAACCAUACUGUACUUCUAAGUUCUAACUACAUCCAACCAACCAACGGCCACUUAUUAGUGUUUUCUCCUUGAGUCACAGUCUUAAUUUUCUAGAAUACUUGUCAACUGUGGCUUCUAUUCUAUUUAUCCAGGUGGAUUAGAUAAGUCUCAUAUUGGAGUACCCACUAGUUUGUGCUGUACUUUGAACUCUCACUAAUUCAGAAGAAUAACUAAUCUACUUCAGAUGACAAAAAUAAAAAUUCUACAAAACUUUUGACUGCUUGAGGGUAUUUUUACCACUUAAUUAACGAAGGUCUACUGAUGAAGGAAAUUUCAUGUUCUAAAUCCUAACUCAUUGCAACUCAUUUGGUUUGGUUUAUCAAAUUAAUUCUCAUGUGAAACAAUUAUUAUUCAUAUAUGUUUCCAAGAAGAAGUACUUUAGUAUAUUAUAUUUAACACUGUUUUCACGCCGGAGCAUAUAUAAAACAUACGAAAAGGUUUAAAAAUGUCAACAUCAAAUCAAAUUGGAGAAAAGUAAACGGGACUAGAGGAUUAAGUUUAAACUUCGAACCUCCUAUUCUACUGCCAUUUAAUUUUAUUUAUUUAUUUAUUUUUGUAAAGAACUUAAAAGCUUCCAGAUUGUUUUAGUACUUAUCUUCAAAACUUUCAUCAGACAGGAGAGAGCAGCACAUGUGAAGGCAGUGAUCCACUUUUAGCAACGGUGGAAAAUGAAUGUACCCCAACAAGCACAAAAAUGAUCAUGCAAUCCUUGAAAUUAUUAUUAUUUUUUUAAAAUAGAGAAUUGAUCUGGAAUUACUGGUAGCGAAACGUGGCAUGGAGGUGAUCGUGAUGUUUAAUUCCUACAAGAUUUGUUUUGUUUUGAGUGGACUGUACAACUGCAUGAAUUUGCUAAUAAUCGAUUGAGAAAUUACUCUAAUUUUAGAAUACUGAUAUAACGACCUGACCCGCUAGCAACAAUAACUCGUUGUGUAAACUGAUCGGAAUCAGUAUCCCAUUCGAUGUGGGACUAUUAGGGCAUUAUAAAAACUCCCCAUGUUUAGGCCCUGACGUACUUGUUGUCGGGUCCAAACCAGAUCACAGACAGACAGACCAGACGAUAUGAGAUUCUAGAGAUGGCUCCUACGGGUUCAAGAUGUGGUGUGAGAUUCUAGAGGUGGGGCUUUUACGGGUUCAAGAGGUGGCUCCCACCAAAUCCGUUGGUGUAACACUUUGUCCCGUAUAGCAUUUAGCUCUCACACUUCCGGCUGGUAUUCGGCUCUGAUACCAAAUAUAACAAUCCGACCCGUCAGCAAAAAUAACUCAUUGGGUCCAAACCAUCGGCCCAAAAUGUUUAAGCCAGUUAUUAUUAUUAUUAGUGUGUUGGCCUCAUAUAAACUGAUCGGAAUCGGUAUCUCAUCUGAUGUGGAACUAUUGGGGCAUUACAACUGAGCAGGUAUUUUGAUUAAUUGUAUCUAGCGUAGUUGGCUAAAAGUUUGAUAGUUGAUAGCAGACCGGAGUCUCUAUAUUAAUUAUCAUGUGUUGCAAAUUAAGUUUUAUCGACGGGUCGGGUCUUUCUCCAGGCCUAGCCCUUCAGCUCCUAAGAAGGCCCAUUAGCUCCCUUAGUUUUUUUUUUUUUUUUCCAAAUUUGCUAUAGUGCUGAGCAUGUAGCUUAUAUAUGUCCCAUGAAUUUCAUGUCACUACUACGAGAAAAUUAAUAUUUAAAGAUACUUUUUUUUUGGGUACUUAAUAAUGUUUAGAAGCGUUCUAAAAUAACCUACCAUCAUAUUUGAAAAUAUCGACAAAAGUAUUUGUAAAUGAAGAGUCGCCAUGUUUAUACCGACGCUUAUACCAAAACUCGAUAAAAUAUAUUCCGAAGUUUUAAAGCAUCAAGAUUUCAAAAUUUGUACCGACGCUUAUACCAAACGUCGGUAAAAUAUAUUCUAAUGUUUUAAAUCAUCAAGAUUUCAAAAAUUUAUGACGCUUUAAAGCGUCAGAAAAUUAAAAAUAAUAGUAAAGUUUGUCAUUCAAUAAAUUAGUUUGAUGCAAUAUACGACUUAUAUGACGAUAUUUUUUAAAUUAUCGAUGUUUGCUAUAUUAUAGGAAUAUAUAUUUGGAAACGUUUCCUCCGAGCGUCGUUCAAAAACCGUACUUAUAAUAACAUUUUCUUGUAGCGACACAUGUUCAAAAUUGCAAACUAAAGUAUCUUGAGACUUGAGUGCGUGUGUGUGUGUGUAUAUAUAUAUAUAUAUAUAUAUAUAGAGAGAGAGAGAGAGAGAGAGAGAGAGAGAGAGAGAGAGAGAGAGAGAGUUUGUGUGUGUUCAACUAGCAUAUUAUUACUUAAUUGUAUUGCAACGCAACUCUCUUUCUCUCUCUAUAUAUAUAUUUAUACCGUUAUGUGCUACUAACUCUAGUUAGUAUCUGUUAUUCUCUAGCAAUUGCUUCUAAAUUUUAAAUGACUAAAGUAAUGAGUGCUUCUGAUUAAUAAAUGUUUUAGUGCACUUUUAAGUACAUACAUGCAUGACAAAUUUGUGGUAUACUACUUUAACCAGCAAAUUUAUAGACAGAAACCAAAAACUUGGUUAAAGAUUUAUAGACAGAGAAAUCAAAAACUUGAUUAAAGAAACUUUCGACAUCAACACUCAAAUAAUUUUAAACACUCAAUUAAGUUGCUUCUUCUGACAAGAGAAUUCAUUUACUUCUUCUGAUACUUAUUUUUAUUUCAUAACCAAAUUGCGCACACCGAAAACAGCAGAAUUUAGAGAUCAGUACAAAUUAAGUGCUAGUGUUCAAACAUAUCAUUAAUUACCAAACACUUAUCACCUUAUGAUUGAUGUUGCUAGGACACUCAAUAAGCAAAAGGACACACACACACACACACAUACACACACACACACACACAAUUUAGAGCAAAUUUUUCGCAGCUGGAUCGGCUUUUAUUUCGUACCCGAGAUGAAGUGUGGUCUGAUCUUGGUGAUGCGAGUAGUGCGAUGCUGCAUCCAACAUACUGACAUGAUAGUAGUUUCUCGAAUCAAACGUCGGAAGAGCGUCCAAUUCGGUUCCACCGGAUACAAUGUUAGCCUGCUGCGCUCGCUCGCUGUCUGCUAUCUGAGGAUUCCAAAAUUUGAAAAGGGCACAGAUUUUUGCAGAUUGUAACAUCCUGGUACGUAAAUAGUCGCAUUUUUUUUGUUUUUGUAGGGUAAAUUGCACCAUUUUUGUUCCUGAUCAGACCUUUUAAUUGUUAAAUUUGUGUGUUCUUGUCCUUUGCAUUUCAUUGCAAUCUUACACUUUUUGGUUAAAUUGCACCAGUCACAUAAUCAUCAUCCAACUCCUAUGUGAACAAUUUAAGUACUUAGCCACAGAACUUUAAUGAAAAUGGUAAGAUUGCGACAUUAUGCAAAGAUUAGGGACUGAAACCUGCUUAAGCAAUCGAGAACCAGCAGUGCAGUGCAAUUUACCCUUUUUUUUUUUUUUUCAUGAUGUAUAAUUAGCUACACUCUUGAUUAUUUAUUGAACUUAAUUCCAAAAAAAAUUAACAAAAUCUAUUGUUCUGAGUUACCUUAGCUCUGAGGUGCAUAUUGUCAUUUUGAAGAUCUGCUUCCUACAUGUUAAAGAAGGCCAGAGGAGAAUCACUAUAGGAAGUAGCUUUAUAAGGAAAGAACAAUAAGAUAAGUGGAAUUAACUACAAGAGUUUUAGUUUAGUUCAAAAGUUUACCCUUUUCUGCAUGUAUUCGAUCUCCGCAAACAGCUGCUCAUGCUGUUUAUUCAGCAGAAAUUAACACAAGAUUAGUUAAGUAGAAUAUAGAGCUAAAAAAACCUACUAAAUUAAUGUGAAUAAAUUAAGUUAUCAUCAUUUAUUUAAUUACUUGAGAGAAUUAGGAUAUUUGAAACAUGGCAGGUUUUAUAUGAUUGUGGAGUAUUAGAGUUUACCUUCUUUGAUCUAAUCCGAGCAAUGCCUCUCUCGAGCCUGUUCUCGAGUUGCUUGAGCUCUUUAGCUGUCAAAUUACUCAGUGCUUCACCCAUGAGGUGCCUGAAAAUUAGUAGUGAUGCAUUUAAAACUAGUAAGAAGAGCAAAUCACACUUUUGAAGUUUUAAAACCAUAUAGAACAUAUUGCUAUAGAUUACCAUAAUAAGUGGGAGUUACAUUUCUAGAUUAAUAAGUACGUGUAUAUAUAGAGAGAGAGAAAGAGAGAGGGUUAAUUAACUUGUUUGCAUUUUGCAGAAUCUGUAUCUGGUGGCGGAGCUUCGCUGCUUCUUGCUGAUAGUAUUGCUGAUUAAACCAUGAAAACACAGUCAAGUUGAGAAAAGGAUAAAGAGCAAGUGACUAUAUAAGAUGAAUGAUUUAGUACUCUUUAUGGGGUUAUUAAUUUACAUCUCUUUGUUAGCUAUUUAAUUUUUCGAACAUCAACUAUUUUAGCUAACUUUCAUAGAUAAAACACUUCAUGCUUGCAAUAAAUAAUAAAAUAUAGCGCUUGUCUGACCAGACUGGAGCUUUUAUAAAAGUGUUGUUUAGAUAUUAUUGACUUACUAGUUUCAGCCUCAAAAUUAAGCUCAUUUUAAUUAUUUUUGUCACGCCAUUGGCCUGCUUCUUUAGAAUAUAAUUAGAGAAGCUAGUUUUGGAGAUGAGCAAAAGAAGCUCAUAUAUAGUUUUCUUGUAAAUCAAAUGAGCUAACACUUGAAGUCAGUAUUUAUGAAAGUAAUUAGCAGACAAGUACUGUUCAGAGAAAUAUACGAUCGAUUCCAAACAUUAAUAAGAAUGGAUCAAUAUCUCAUCUAUAUACAAGUAAUUAUCGCAUCACUCGCAUUAGCAACAUCAAAGCAUGCAUCAUUGCCAAAAAAUUCAUAUUCAUGUGAUUAAGCACUAUUAUUGAAUCUUUUUCCUCUGAAAAUUUUCGCAAUUGGCUUCUGAUAAGCAAACUAUAUAUGGAUAAUAUUUAGUCCAAACCAGUAAAUUUAUACCUCACUGAGUCGAGAAAUUGCCAAGAUGUUGUAUUACGAGAAAUGCUGAUAUGAAAUUUUUUGAAAAAAGAAAUGCUUACAUGAGAAUUGACCUCUACAGUGGAGCUUGAAUUUGGACUGUUGGAACAGGCCUUCUUGUACCUCUCAAUGGUUGAUCUUAUGCUGCAACAAACAUAGAAAAGUCGAAUUAUUUAUACACAUUUUGAAGGAUACAUUGUACGAUUAAACGAUUAACCAUAUGAAUAAAAUGGCUCAAAUUGUCGAUUUAAGGAUCGAAAGAAUGAUUCAGGUUUCUAUAAUUUUAAGAAAGAGGGGGUCUGUGUAAGAGAAGUUGGUUUAAUUCUUAUUUUUACUUAUUGAAAUCUCUUCUGACAUAAAUAUUGUUAUAUUCCCUUCUUUUACUUCAUUUCGGAAGGUUUUGCCACAGAAUAAUAAGACAAAUGGAUUUUAAUGAAAAUCCAAACAAAGUUAUAAUUUGAAUGGCAUAUUCACAUAUAAUUAGUAUUUGCAGCAAAUGCAUCAGAGGGUGCAAAAACACAAAAUGUUCUUUUUGCCUCUAAUUCAACUGUUCAGCUUCAUCUUGUGAUGCUAAAAUCUGCUUACAAUAAAGCAACUGUUGCACCAAAAGAUGAAAGAGCUGCAUAUAAAUGUGCCAUAUAUUAAACAAACAAAAAGUGGAAUAAAAUAACUUGAAUUUUUUUUCUUUCACUAAAGUGAAAUAAGUAUGUUGAGAAUAGUUUCAUUCAGUAUCUCUCUCUCUCUCUCUCUCUCUCUCUCUCUCUCUCUCUCUCUCUGAUUCUGUAGUUGCUUGACUACUUUUUGACACACAGUGUAGUUUUUCCUUUUUAAGCUCCCAAAGGAAACAUGCAUAUAUACACACCAGCUAAAUAAAAGGACCAGUUAUAUACACUCCUCUUCUAAUGUAACAAAUAUAAAAGCUUCAAUUCUUUUUCAUCUGUACAAAGCAAAAAGCAAGUCUCCUGAUUGUUUCAUGUAAAGUGUUCUAACAUGGAGAUGGAAACUGUGGCUUCUCUCCAUUGACCUUCCUUUGAGGUGCUAAGAAGUUAAUAUAUACCUUGUUUCUAAUGCCUAGCUAUAUAUAAUGCUUCUUUGUCACCAACUGUACCUCCUCAGGAGAGAGAGAGAGAGAGAGAGAGAGAGAGAGAGAGAGAGAGAUGACUGCAGCUAGAGUGUCCAGCAUAAUAUGUAAGACAAGAAAGGCAAGGCAAGAAAGAAGGGAAGGGAGGGAGGGAGGAAACCCUAAAGAUUGAAACUGCAUAUAUAUUGUAAUAAAUACCAUAGAAGGGCUAUAUAGCUAGUCAUGUUGUAUUCAUAUGGUGACAUGGAAAUUAUUAGCCAUUAGUAGAGGAGACCUCUCACAGUUUCCUCAACAUAUAUAUAUAAAAAAAGGAGUAUAGAGUAUAUCAAUCAAAUUAGAGGAAAAGAAAUAGCAUAUACACUGAGAGAUCUCUCAGUGAGGCAAAAACCCUCUUCACCAAAGUAAACAACAUACUUAAUUUGGAACUCUUCACACAUAUAUGACAAGAGAUAGAAGAUCUGCUCCUUCAGAAACUUAAUUUUGAGAAAUGAAAAAAAAAAAAAAGGAAGAGAAGAAAUGAAGAAAGAAGCAAACAUUAAUUGAUCCAAAAAAACUCAAACUCCUAGCUAUAGCUGCACUUUUUUCCUAGUCCAUAUAUAAUAAUACCCAUAAUAUAAGUGACAUACAAUUACUUAAAAAUCUUUUUAAUUACCAGUAAAAUAACACUAUAGUAUACAAGAAAGUUCCCAUUUUCAAAGGUCAUUCAUGGUUAUAUAUAUAUAUAUAUAUAUAUAUAAUAUAUAUAUAUAUAUAUAAUUAAGCACACCAUCAUGAAUUGAACAGGUAGUGAAAUAAUAUAUACUUUAAUUUACUUUCUUUAUAAUUAAAUCCCUUAAUGAUGCAAACUAUGUAUGUAUAUAUAUAUAGUGACACUUCAAUUGGAGUUGAGAAGGGAUAUUGAUAAUAUUAGAUGCUAACAAGAUGGUAAUUCUACCGAUUAUUAUUAAGAAAACAAAAUUAAUGGUAAUUAGAGGAGGAGAAAAGAAUUGAGUACAUCUAUACACCUGCUAUUCGAGUACUCGUAAAGCCGGCCUCGGGUAGAGAAGAUAACGAGGGCGAUCUCGGCGUCGCAAAGCACCGACAGCUCGUACGCUUUCUUGAGCAGGCCGUUGCGCCGCUUGCAGAAGGUGACUUGGCGGCUCGUCGUGUUCUCGAUCCUCUUUAUCUCAAUCUUUCCCCUCCCCAUUGUUAUUGUUAUUGUUAUUAUUAUUAUCUCUCUAGCUAGAUCUCCUUCACAAUUCCCUGAGUCAAGCAACAAUUUACACUACUUCAAAAACAUAUAUACUUGUUUAGAAGCUAUAUAUAUAUAGAGAGAGAGAGAGAGCUAUGGUUUCUUGCAAAACAAAUGAAAAUAAUAAUAACUACCAUGCAUGUGGCUGGAUCUGAACUUGCUAAUUGAUUUUUAGUUAUUAAUUUCAAAAUAAUUUAUCUCUACACCUCCACCUAGGCUCAAUCCUAGCUAGUAGAAUUUCACAAAAAAAAUGAAGAAAAAAGAAUUACCAAAUUGAAUAAUAAUAAUAAUAAUAAAUCUAUGGAAAAAUACCAUCGAUAAUUUUGUUUUUCUGAAAAAGAAGAAUUUAAUUAAUUAAGGUGGUUAAAAGAUUUCAUAGGUGAACAAGGAUUCAAGGUGAAGCGUGAACAAAUUUAAUUGAGCAACUCCAACAAAAUAAUUAUUAUGAGCUAGAUCUUAGAGGAUGAAAGAAGAACAGAAAUAAAUAUUUAGAUUUAAUUAUAUGAGAAAAUAGUUUGUAUAUAUAAUUAUUUCCUUAAGUUUUUUUUUUAUUUUUUAUAUUCCCCACUUUUUUGGUUUUUGGGAAGUGAGAGAAAUUAAGAACCAACCUGGGAACUGCUCAUAUAGAUUUAACUACUUCCAUAUGGAACUACCAAUGAAUCAAAAUAAAAGAGAAGUACAAAAAUUUAACUAAAACAAAACCCGUGGAUUAAACUCUUUAAUUUGAAGAAACAAAAGAGAAUGAGAAAACGUGUAUCCGAUCUAAUCAAUCAAACAACUCUUAUUUAUUCUGCUUCGUUAGUUAAUAAUUACCUCUUCCAUGAACAAAAAAGAAAAAAAGAAAGAUGUACAUAGGAAAAGAAAUCUAUAUAUAUAUAUAUAUAUAUAUAUAUAUCAUGAAGAAACAAACUAUGCUAUAUACAAAUUUCGUGGUAUAUGUGCAUAUAAUUACCACUUUAUAUAUAGCUUUUUUUUAGUCAUGCAUAGAUCUCCAGGAACUCCACUGUAGAGAGAGAGAGGGGUGUGAGGAAGAGGAAGAGAGAGAGAGAAGGGCACUGCAUGGGGUUGGCAUUGGAUGGAGGGGCUUUCCUUAUAAAGGAAGGAGGGAAAAGAGUGGCAGGAUGUAAUAGAGUUCCAACAGUUUAAUGUUGUACGGGUAUAACGAUCCGACCCGCUAGCAAUAAUAACUCGAUAAAUUUUAAAUUACCAGCCCAAAAUAUUUAAGUCUAAUUAUUAUUAUUAAGGUGGAAGUCUUGUAUAUUCCAACUAUAACCUAUUUUUCAUCCGAUAUAGAACUACUGAGGCGUUACAGACUCCAUGACACUAUCGGGGCGUUACAUACUCCACAUGUUUAGAUCCUAACGUUCUCAUCAGGUCCAAACCAGAUCACAAAUAUACAAACCAGAAUUACUAGGCGAUAUAAUAUUAGAGGUAAUUCUUACGGGUUCAAGAGAUGAGUCCCAUCAAAUUCGUUGGUGUGGUACUUUGCCUCAUAUAGCACUUAGCUUUUAUACUUCUUACCCAACAAGUUAUUACUGCUAACGGGUCGGAUCGUUACAAAUAUGUAGUGCUGAGGGUUAAAAGCUUGCUUAUUGAUGUCUGAGGUCAUAAAUUCAAUGUACAUCUAGUUGUUUUGCAUUGUUAACUGAGUUCAUUUGUAAAAAAGAAAAAGAAAAUUAAGAAGCGGACACCUUGCUAGCUAUUUCUCUCUCUCUCUCUCUCAAAAAAAAAAAAAAAAGUUUGAAAAGCUCAAAAGUAAUUUUAAUUUUCCUUCUUUAAAAUACAUAAAAUAAAAUUAAUAAUUUCAAUUUUAAUACUUGCAGUGCUAGCAUCUAUAUAUAGACGAUCCAAAUCCUUUGUGCUAAGGGAAUCUUCUUUCAUUCUAAGUAAUACUUAGUGUCAUUGAGAAAUGAGAGAUUCGAUUUGCAACUAAAACGUAGUUGUAAUCCUACAACAUCAUCAUUUAAGGGUAAACUUUUUUGCAGUAAUCUUAAAUAUCAAUUUUUUUUUUUUUUAAUUCUAAGAUUUUAAAAAGGUUUGUGUCUAACCCUAGGAAGGAAAUUAAGUUAUAAAAUUACAUCUCCCUUUUGGUUGCAGCCUUGUAUUUUGUUGAGAAAUAAGAGUGCAUGCAUGCAUGCCCAACAUAUCAUGGGUCAGAUUUUAUACUUGAUGAUAAAUAUCUUCAAAUCAAAAUUUUAAACAACACCACUUUGCAAUGCCCUAUUGAUGUAUUCAUAGAACACUUGCAUUUUUUUUUUUUUUUUUUUUGAAAGGGAAAGAUAACAAUCUACCCACUUCAUUCAUUUUGUUUAGAAAUGAACUUAGCUAAAAAUGUAAAGGUAUUGGACUUUGAACUUGGGACUUUAGAUACUAACCAUUUAGCUCUUAGCCAAUUGCGCUGAUAAACACAUGCAAUAUGUUGUGUUCCAAUUUUAAGGCCUCUGCAGUAGAAUGUUAGGAAAGGGUUGCAUCUGAUAUACUGAUACACUAGGUGCAAGCAAUAUAUAACUCAUCAUCGCGAAUUCCGAAUUAUUUAGUAUGUGCUUCAAUUAGCCUUCCUUCGAUUUAGCCUAGUUGUACCCAAUCAUCCUAUGAUUUGCAGAGCACAUAGACAGUUUGGUGGGCCAUAUGAUUCUACUCGUGAAUUUUAAAGAUCUAUUCCAAUCUUAAAGUUUUCAAUCCGAAUCUCAACACUGUAUUGAAUGACAGAUUUAGAGGGAACCUGAUAAGAUUGAAUGGGGAGCUCCUUAUUUAAGAUUUUUCUGGAUUUGUGGAGGUAUAUUCUUGUUAAUUCAUGUGGUGAUAGUGGGGGAAAGCUCUUUAAUCCAAAUGAUUAUGCAUGACCUCUAAAUCACCAGUGACUAUAAUUGGAAUUGUUGGGCCGAAUCGGACCAGGCCGUAGUCGAUCGGGGCUUUCGUGAGGCCCACACUUACGCCUCGGAUUUUUCCCUCAUAUAAUUACCCAAAUUAGUUAAACAUAUAUAGCUCAAUUUUGUGUUAUGCAUGUAUAAUUUUCAGAGAAUUGAAGUUCUACAGGAAUGUAACAAUAGAACCAUUUUUCUUCUUCUUUUUUUUUUUUUUUUUUUAAGAUAGGCUGGUGUAACUAUAGAGCUUAUGUAUGAAACCCCAAAAUGUUUUGUUGAAUCCUUUUUCAACUUUGGAGUUUGGACCACAAUAUAUAUUAUUCUCUCUUGCAUUAAAUGCUCUGAUAAAAGUUCAUAUAUUUCCACUUUUGUUACUAGGGCUACAUUUUUUCUAUUCAUGGAGGUGAUCCAUAUAUAGCACCUAUAUACCCUAAAUUAAGUAUCUAUAGGGGACCACAUAUUUAUGCUUUUUUCAAAGUAGAUGAAGCUUCACCCCUCUCGAAAGUUAUGUGGAGCUUGGAGGUAGGAGAAUGACAAUGACAUCCAUAUGUAAAUAUAUAUAGCAUUUAUGGCUCAAUAUCUAACUCUCCAAUGGAUUGCACCCUACAUGAUGAUGAUGUUUUUAUAAUACAUAAGAUGUUGAUGGGGUAAGAAAUCAUUGUGUUGAAUGCAUCUUUACAAGCAUAUUAACCAAAAGAAAAAAGGAAAAAAGAGGGGAGAUUAUACAUUUGCAUUGAUGUUCCUUCAACACAUUUGAAUUGCUCUAGAAUUAGGAUUAGAGUAUUGACUAGAAUGUCAUUCUGAGACAGACGCUGAGAAGUCGCCACAUAUCAUCAGUGAAUGACAAAGUUAUUUGGCGAUUGAGUAUCUGAUAAGUAAUAACAUAUCGUGGCAACUUCUGAGGGUUGCGAUCCACACGGUUGACGUUGUGGUCUAGGUCUAGACAAUGAUUUCUCCUGGUCUAUUCUUUUCAUAUGCACACACUACAUUAUACCAUCUACUAUGAUUUAACUCCUCUCCUGCAACUCUUCAUUGCCUCUCUCUCUCUCUCUCUCUCUCUCUCUCUCUCUCUCUCUCUCUCUCCCAACAAAGGGACCACUCUCUUCAAUCUCAAGUUUCAAUCACCAUAUAUAUAUAUAUAUAUAUAUAUAUAUAUAUAUACAUAUAUAUAUAUAUACAUAUAUAUAUAUAUACAUAUAUAUAUACAUAUACAUANAUCAUAUCUAAUACUGUACGAUUAAGAAAAUAAGAUUUGAAGCGCUUCAAAUCUGAUUGUUUUGUUUGUGAUUGAAAUAUGAGCUGAAAUAAACGUUACUUGUUACUUGUUACUUGUUACUUGUUACUUCAUUCGCAUUAGUAACUUGUUACUUCAUUCGCGUUCACAUCUUACUAUUUUGUAAUUUCUUUUUAUGUAAUAUUAGUCAUAUUUGUAAUUAUUAUUCUGAUUUCUCAAAGUUACUCAAUUUCUGUGUUACUCUUAAUGCUCAAUAUUUGGUUACAUGAAUUGAAUUAAUGUCGAUUUCUGGCUGUUAUAUAGUUCAUAGAAAACAUUGUUAUCUACGUACUUGGCCUCUUUAUUUUUAUAUUGUUUGCGUUAUAAAUUCAGGAAUCAACAAAUGUUGAAAAGCUAAUUUUUCUUCAUUUUUGUUUGCAGAUUUAUAAGAGGUGGUGAUGAGAAAUAUUUUGGCAGGUCAUUGGUGAUGUAUUGAAUCAAGUUUAAAAAUUUAGGCAUAUUUUGAAAACUUUACAUUUGAUAGCAUGUGGAAAUGACAAAAACACUAUUAUUGUGUUUUGUUUUUUGGUUUUGUUGGGUGAUUAUUUUACUUAUAUAUGAUGAUUCAGUUUUACUUAUAUAUAUUGUCCCAAACUUCUUUAUGUUGUGAGAGACACAAUUCGAUGCAAAAUGUAGAAUUUCUGAUUGUUGAUCUGUCGUUUGUUUGGAAAGCUUUCUCUCAUAUUUAUGAGAAUCGGCUCUCUUUGUCCCAAAUUUUAUUUGGUUUUGAGAAGCUUAAAUUGAAAUUAAAGGUUAAAAUUUAAGAAUGAGAAAUUUUUAUAACUAUAUGUUAUUUUUUAGCAAUUUAUACUAAAUCAAUAAUAUCUAUUACUACCAAUUAUAUUUUUUAAAAAAAUUAAUUUUAUAUCAGAAAAUGGUGGCGAUAAUAGUCGCUACCAUAAAACUGGUCAUAAAAAAGUCUCGCCGCUAAUUAUCUAACUUUUCGCGGCGACACUUAUUUGUCGCCGCUAAUUAUCUAACUUUUAGCGGCGACGGUAUGUCGCCACUAAUUAUCUAACUUUUCGCGGCGACCAUUUGUCGCCGCUAAUUAUCUAACUUAUAGCGGUGACACAUUGUCGCCACCAAAUAGUUUUACCGACGGGGUUUUAGGCGGCGGCAUGCGGCGACAGAUUGUCGCCGCCAAAACGUUUUUAGUGGCGACAAUGUUGGCUAUGGUGGCGACAUUUGUCGCCACUAAAUCUUGUAUCUGUAGU
rnacentral:lncRNA from 1 species